CUGGCGGCGUGCCUAACACAUGCAAGUCGAACGAGAAAGUGGAGCAAUCCAUGAGUACAGUGGCGUACGGGUGAGUAACACGUGACUAACCUACCCUCGAGUGGGGAAUAACUUCGGGAAACCGAGGCUAAUACCGCAUAAUGUCUACGGACCAAAUGCGUAAGCAGCUUGAGGAGGGGGUCGCGGCUGAUUAGCUUGUUGGCGGGGUAACGGCCCACCAAGGCAAUGAUCAGUAGCCGGCCUGAGAGGGCGCACGGCCACACUGGAACUGAAACACGGUCCAGACUCCUACGGGAGGCAGCAGUGGGGAAUUUUGCGCAAUGGGGGAAACCCUGACGCAGCAACGCCGCGUGGAGGAUGAAGCCCCUUGGGGUGUAAACUCCUUUCGAUCGGGACGAUUAUGACGGUACCGGAUGAAGAAGCACCGGCUAACUCUGUGCCAGCAGCCGCGGUAAUACAGAGGGUGCAAGCGUUGUUCGGAAUUAUUGGGCGUAAAGGGUGCGUANGCGGUGCGGUAAGUCUUCUGUGAAACCUCCGGGCUUAACUCGGAGCCUGCAGGGGAAACUGCCGUGCUGGAGUAUGGGAGAGGUGAGUGGAAUUCCCGGUGUAGCGGU
rnacentral:rRNA from 1 species